rnacentral:lncRNA from 1 species
UUUUUUUUUAUUUUAAUGAAGAGACAAAACAUUUUUAGAAUAACUGUAUUGAGGUUUUUAUAAUGGGAUUUUAUAGCCAAUUUUUGCACAGAAUUUUAUAGAAAGUAAAAAUAAAUGCUGAGUGUGUAUUUCUUACUUAUGUGUUUAUCUCUCCAAAUCUCACUCAAGAACUGCUGCUGCUUAGAAAUUAUCCACCAUACUAGUAUUCACAAUUGUUUAUUUUUGUUUCCAUGGUUACUUUUAGACACUUUUUAGAAUUAUUUACCUCACUUUUAUAUUUGAUAAAACUAUUUUUCAUUUGUAAUUUUAAAAUGUUAUGAUAAAGAAUUAUUUGUACGUUCUUAGAAUGAUAGAUCUUUUCUUGCUUUAUGUCGCAUUUAUCAGAGCAAGUAAUCAAUUAUUUAGGGGUAAAACUUUUU